AUGAACGCUAGCUACAGGCUUAACACAUGCAAGUCGAGGGGCAGCAUGGUCUUAGCUUGCUAAGGCCGAUGGCGACCGGCGCACGGGUGAGUAACACGUAUCCAACCUGCCGUCUACUCUUGGACAGCCUUCUGAAAGGAAGAUUAAUACAAGAUGGCAUCAUGAGUCCGCAUGUUCACAUGAUUAAAGGUAUUCCGGUAGACGAUGGGGAUGCGUUCCAUUAGAUAGUAGGCGGGGUAACGGCCCACCUAGUCUUCGAUGGAUAGGGGUUCUGAGAGGAAGGUCCCCCACAUUGGAACUGAGACACGGUCCAAACUCCUACGGGAGGCAGCAGUGAGGAAUAUUGGUCAAUGGGCGAGAGCCUGAACCAGCCAAGUAGCGUGAAGGAUGACUGCCCUAUGGGUUGUAAACUUCUUUUAUAAAGGAAUAAAGUCGGGUAUGGAUACCCGUUUGCAUGUACUUUAUGAAUAAGGAUCGGCUAACUCCGUGCCAGCAGCCGCGGUAAUACGGAGGAUCCGAGCGUUAUCCGGAUUUAUUGGGUUUAAAGGGAGCGUAGAUGGAUGUUUAAGUCAGUUGUGAAAGUUUGCGGCUCAACCGUAAAAUUGCAGUUGAUACUGGAUAUCUUGAGUGCAGUUGAGGCAGGCGGAAUUCGUGGUGUAGCGGUGAAAUGCUUAGAUAUCACGAAGAACUCCGAUUGCGAAGGCAGCCUGCUAAGCUGCAACUGACAUUGAGGCUCGAAAGUGUGGGUAUCAAACAGGGUUAGAUACCUUGGUAGUCCACACGGUAAACGAUGAAUACUCGCUGUUUGCGAUAUACGGCAAGCGGCCAAGCGAAAGCGUUAAGUAUUCCACCUGGGGAGUACGCCGGCAACGGUGAAACUCAAAGGAAUUGACGGGGGCCCGCACAAGCGGAGGAACAUGUGGUUUAAUUCGAUGAUACGCGAGGAACCUUACCCGGGCUUAAAUUGCAGAUGAAUUACGGUGAAAGCCGUAAGCCGCAAGGCAUCUGUGAAGGUGCUGCAUGGUUGUCGUCAGCUCGUGCCGUGAGGUGUCGGCUUAAGUGCCAUAACGAGCGCAACCCUUGUUGUCAGUUACUAACAGGUUCCGCUGAGGACUCUGACAAGACUGCCAUCGUAAGAUGUGAGGAAGGUGGGGAUGACGUCAAAUCAGCACGGCCCUUACGUCCGGGGCUACACACGUGUUACAAUGGGGGGUACAGAGGGCCGCUACCACGCGAGUGGAUGCCAAUCCCCAAAACCUCUCUCAGUUCGGACUGGAGUCUGCAACCCGACUCCACGAAGCUGGAUUCGCUAGUAAUCGCGCAUCAGCCACGGCGCGGUGAAUACGUUCCCGGGCCUUGUACACACCGCCCGUCAAGCCAUGGGAGCCGGGGGUACCUGAAGUGCGUAACCGCGAGGAGCGCCCUAGGGUAAAACUGGUGACUGGGGCU
rnacentral:rRNA from 1 species